GGUUAAUUUCAUAUUUUAAGUCGUCAUUUACUUGGACCACUAGUGAAAAUCCAGAGAACAGCAGCCAAGAGAGGUCUAGAAAGUAAGACAUUGGAGGACCAAAAAAAAAAAAAAAGUUAGACAUGAACUCUCAAGAGAAUAAUUUGUUCUGUACAUCUAGUGCAGGCACUACAUGAAUGGGAUUAACA